UACAGAGGGUGCAAGCGUUGUUCGGAAUUAUUGGGCGUAAAGCGCGUGUAGGCGGCAGUGCAAGUCAGGUGUGAAAGCCCUCAGCUCAACUGAGGAAGUGCGCCCGAAACUGCAUUGCUUGAGUACCGGAGAGGAUGGUGGAAUUCCCGAAGUAGAGGUGAAAUUCGUAGAUAUCGGGAGGAACACCGGUGGCGAAGGCGACCAUCUGGACGGAUACUGACGCUGAGACGCGAAAGCGUGGGUAGCAAACAGG
rnacentral:rRNA from 1 species